rnacentral:rRNA from 1 species
AAUAGAUACCCCGGUAGUCCACGCCGUAAACGAUGAGUGCUAAGUGUUAGGGGGUUUCCGCCCCUUAGUGCUGCAGCUAACGCAUUAAGCACUCCGCCUGGGGAGUACGGUCGCAAGACUGAAACUCAAAGGAAUUGACGGGGGCCCGCACAAGCGGUGGAGCAUGUGGUUUAAUUCGAAGCAACGCGAAGAACCUUACCAGGUCUUGACAUCCCGCUGACCGGCCUAGAGAUAGGCUUUUCCCUUCGGGGACAGCGGUGACAGGUGGUGCAUGGUUGUCGUCAGCUCGUGUCGUGAGAUGUUGGGUUAAGUCCCGCAACGAGCGCAACCCUUGAUCUUAGUUGCCAGCAUUCAGUUGGGCACUCUAAGGUGACUGCCGGUGAUAAACCGGAGGAAGGUGGGGAUGACGUCAAAUCAUCAUGCCCCUUAUGACCUGGGCUACACACGUGCUACAAUGGACGGUACAGAGGGUCGCAACCCCGCGAGGGUGAGCUAAUCCCAUAAAACCGUUCUCAGUUCGGAUUGUAGGCUGCAACUCGCCUA